rnacentral:tRNA from 1 species
UCUCCUGUAGGAUAAAGUAUAAAUCCUUUAUAUUUAGGGUAUAAAAAUAGAUUUAGGUUUCAGGAGAG